rnacentral:rRNA from 1 species
CCGUAGCUACGCGUUAAGUGCACCGCCUGGGGAGUAUGCUCGCAAGGGUGAAACUCAAAGGAAUUGACGGGGGCCCACAACGUGGAGCAUGUGGUUUAAUUCGAUGAUACGGAGGAACCUUACCAGGGUUUGACAUGUACCUGGAUGUCAGAGAUGUGCAGUCUCGUUUAGAGCGGGUACACAGGUGCUGCAUGCGUGUCAGCUCGUGUCGUGAGAUGUUGGUUAAGUCCCGCAACGAGCGCAACCCCUGCUGUCUGUUGCUAACAGGUAAUGCUGAGGACUCAGGCGGAACUGCCGGUGACAAACCGGAGGAAGGUGGGGACGACGUCAAGUCAUCAUGGCCUUUAUGUCCUGGGCUACACACGUGCUACAAUGGUCGGUACAGAGUGUUGCGAGACGGUGACGUUGAGCUAAUCACAAAAGCCGGCCUUAAGUUCGGAUUGGAGUCUGAAACUCGACUCCAUGAAGUUGGAAUCGCUAGUAAUCGCGCAUCAGCAUGGCGCGGUGAAUAUGUUCCCGGGCCUUGUACACACCGCCCGUCACACCACCCGAGUUGGGGGUACCCGAAGUCGCUAGUCUAACAGUUUACUGAGGACGGUGCCGAAGGUAUGCCUGUAAGGGGGG